GAAAUGCGAUAAGUAAUGUGAAUUGCAGAAUUCAGUGAAGCAUCGAAUCUUUGAACGCACCUUGCGCUCCUUGGUAUUCCUUGGAGCAUGCCUGUUUGAGUAUCAUGAAAUCUUCAAAGUAAAUCUUUUGUUAACUCAAUUGGUUUCUACUUUGGUAUUGGAGGUCUUUGCAGCUUCACACCUGCUCCUCUUUGUUCAUUAGCUGGAUCUCAGUGUUAUGCUUGGUUCCACUCGGCGUGAUAAGUUAUCUAUCGCUGAGGACACUGUAAAAGGUGGCCAAGGUAAAUGCAGAUGAACCGCUUCUAAUAGUCCAUUGACUUGGACAAUACUUUUGUGAUCUGAUCUCAAAUCAGGUAGGACUACCCGCUGAACUUAAGC
rnacentral:misc_RNA from 1 species